GUCAAGUGACUAAGUGCAUGUGGUGGAUGCCUUGGCGAUUACAGGCGACGAAGGACGUGAUAGCCUGCGAUAAGCUUCGGGGAGCUGGCAAAUUAGCUUUGAUCCGGAGAUUUCCGAAUGGGGAAACCCACCGAAAGGUAUCGUAUUCUGAAUACAUAGGGAUACGAGGCGAACCGGGUGAACUGAAACAUCUCAGUAGCUCGAGGAAAAGACAUCAACCGAGAUUCCGAAAGUAGUGGCGAGCGAAAUCGGAGUAGCCCUCGCGUUUUAGCAGUUUGUAUAUCAGAACGGAAUGGAAAGUCCGGCCACAGCGGGUGAUAGCCCCGUAUGAGAAAUGCAGAUUGUGGAACUAGGCGCGAAUAGAGUAGGGCGGGACACGUGAAAUCCUGUCUGAAUA
rnacentral:rRNA from 1 species